GAUGAAGAACGUAGCGAAAUGCGAUAAGUAAUGUGAAUUGCAGAAUUCAGUGAAUAAUCGAAUCUUUGAACGCACAUUGCGCCCGCCAGUAUUCUGGCGGGCAUGCCUGUUCGAGCGUCAUUUCAACCAUCAAGCCCCCGGCUUGUGUUGGGGACCUGCGGCUGCCGCAGGCCCUGAAAAGCAGUGGCGGGCUCGCUGUCACACCGAGCGUAGUAGCAUACAUCUCGCUCUGGGCGUGCUGCGGGUUCCGGCCGUUAAACCACCUUCAUAACCCAAGGUUGACCUCGGAUCAGGUAGGAAGACCCGCUGAACUUAAGCAUAUCAAUAAGCGGAGGA
rnacentral:misc_RNA from 1 species